rnacentral:rRNA from 1 species
GACGUAGGAUGCAAGCGUUGUCCGGAAUUAUUGGGCGUAAAGAGUUCGUAGGCGGUUGCCUAAGUCUGAUGUUAAAUACUGGAGCUCAACUCCGGCAUGGCAUUGGAAACUGGGCGGCUAGAGUGUGGUAGAGGUCUCGGGAAUUCCAGGUGUAGCGGUGAAAUGCGUAGAUAUCAGGAGGAACACCGGUGGCGAAGGCGGUUCUCUGGGCAUUAACUGACGCUGAGGAGCGAAAGCAUGGGGGAGCGAACAGG